rnacentral:misc_RNA from 1 species
GAUGAAGAACGUAGCGAAAUGCGAUAAGUAAUGCGAAUUGCAGAAUUCAGUGAGUCAUCGAAUCUUUGAACGCACAUUGCGCCCUGAGGUAUUCCGCAGGGCAUGCCUGUUCGAGCGUCAUUUCAACCCUCAAGCUCUGCUUGGUGUUGGGCCCUGCCCGCUGCGGCCGGCCCUAAAGACAGUGGCGGUGCCGCCUGGCCCUGAGCGUAGUACAUCUCUCGCUCCAGUGCCCGGUGGUAGCCUGCCAGAACCCCAACUCUCGUGGUUGACCUCGGAUCAGGUAGGGAUACCCGCUGAACUUAAGCAUAUCAAUAAGCGGAGGA